rnacentral:rRNA from 1 species
UACGUAGGGCGCAAGCGUUAUCCGGAAUUAUUGGGCGUAAAGAGCUCGUAGGCGGUUUGUCGCGUCUGCCGUGAAAGUCCGGGGCUCAACUCCGGAUCUGCGGUGGGUACGGGCAGACUAGAGUGAUGAGGGGAGACGUGAAUUCCUGGUGUAGCGGGUGAAAUGCGCAGAUAUCAGGAGGAACACCGAGUGGCGAAGGCGGUUCUCUGGGCAUUACUGACGCUGAGGAGCGAAAGCGGUGGGAGCGAACAGG